rnacentral:lncRNA from 1 species
UCGUUUCACUAACUCGCAUCCAAUUUUUCUUUUGCUUAGCUUAUGAAUUCAUGUUUGUUCUAUUCUCCUAUAAGAUCUUUCAUAUAUUAAAAUUAUUAUCGUUAAUAUUGUUAUUUUUUAUUUUUUUUCGAAUUAUUAGUGAAUUCGUGCACAAUAAGCCGAUGCUCUGGAUGAAAACAAUGAAGGAAGCAUUGCUGUGUGCACGAAAAUUGAAUUUCUUAAGGUCCGCAUGUCUGCUCUCUUUGAUCUUUGACUUGAUUUGAGGGCC